UCAUAAGUUAUAAAUUUGGCUGUCUAAGUCUAAGGUAACUUAUCUGGGUCCGUGCUAUCAAAAAAUGAUCUUGGUUCGCUUAUGGGAAUUUACAUGCAAAAAAUUUGAUAGCACGAAGUUUGAUUCGAUG